UUCAAUUGUUUGCCACCUUCUGCAUUCCAUCUAGAGUCCCCGAGCCUCCUAAAUGAUUUUUUUUAAAGUUUAUUUACAUUGAAGUUCACGUUUUGUACAGUAGAGUUCUGUGGGUUUUAACAAGUAUCAAUAUCAUGUAUCCACCAUUACACUAUCACAGAAGAGUUUCGCUGCCUUAAAAUCCUCUGAACCUCACCUGUUAAACCCUCUCUCCUCCCCCUGGCCCUUUGGCACUUACUGACCUUUACUGUCUCCACAGCUUUGCCUUUUCCAGAAUGUUAUAAAAUUGGACUCACACGGUGUGUAGCCUCUUCAGACUGGUGUCGUUCAGUUAGCAAUGUACCUUUAAGAUUCAGCCAUGUCUUUUCGUGGCUCGAUCGCUCGUUCCUUUUUAGUGCUAAAUGACAUUCCACUGGAUGGAAUUAGCACUAAGUGGACCACUGUUUAUUAUUUGCUCACCUAUUGAAGGGCAUCUUGGUUGCUCCCAGUUUUGGGUGGUUAUGGGUAAAGCUGCUGUAAACACUGGCAUGCGGGUUUUUUCGUGGGCAUAAAUUUUCAGAUCAGUUGGGCAAAUACCUAGGAGUGUGACCGCUAGAUCACAUGGCAAGACUACAUUUAGCUGUUAGGAAGCUGCCUAACUAUCUUCCACAGUGGCUUUUUCAUUUGCUUUCCCGCCAGCAACGAAGCAGAGUCCUUUUGCUCCACAUCCUUGCCAGCAUUGUGCAUUGUCAGGCUUUUGGAUUCUAGCUGUUCUUAUAGCUUAAUGUUUUCAAGCUUCAUCCAUGUUGCAGCCUGAAUCAACACUUCAUUCCUUUUUAUGACUGGAUAAUAUUCCAUUGUUGUCUUUUCAUUUAGUUGAUGGUUUUCUUUGCUGUGCAUACAAUGGAAUAUUAUUCAGCCUUAAAAAAGAAGGAAAUCCUGCUAUAUGUGACAAUAUGGAUGAACCUGGAAGACAUGCUCGGUGAAAUAAGCCAGGCACAGAAGGAUGAAUGCUGCGUGACUCCACAUAUACGAGGCAUCAACAGAGUCAAACUCAUAGAAACAGAGGAGGAUGGAGGCUGCCAGGAGCUGCGGGAGGGGAAAGGGGAGCUGUGUUUCAAUGGGUAUAAAGUUUCUGUCAUGCAAGGUACGUUCUGGAGCUCUGCUGAACACAUGGUGCUUAUAGUUAACAAUAGUGUGUUUGCACCUUAAUUUUGAAGAAUGGGACAGUGGUGUGGUGAUGGGGCCUGGGGUAGCCUUGUGUUCCCGUGCUGCACAAUCCCGAGAGUGGAUAGGAACCUUCCCCUCCCCCCAGAGCAUGGACUUUAUUGUCCAGCUAGUUGCCAGGUGUUUAAUGAGGCCCGGCUCUUGUCCUAGGUACACCAUACUAGGUGUAAAUACAGCAGUAGGAGACACAGUCCCUGUCCAUUUGAGGCAUAUAAUCCAAGUAUUUCUCAGGAAUUACUCCGUGGUCAGAAAUAAAAUCUGGACUUAGCUGCCUGUAUUGCAAGGAACAUUCUUUAAAGUCAACAUUUUAAGGAAAAACAUUACACCCUGCACUUACAUAGUAGGAAAUUUCUUCCUGGUAACAUCAGCUUCAUCAUUAUCAAUAAACAAGGUUUACUUUUGUUAAAAUUCACCUUACA